CUCUCUCUCUCUCUCUGUGUGUGUGGGCUGAACAUUUCAAGCAUGAAUCACCCCUGACCACACCCCAGCUGGUGAUGACACAGAAAGUGUUUGCGUUUGACAGCAGCUGAUGAAAAAACACCUGUGACAUCACUGAACGGGGCGUGCUCAGAGGCACGAAGCUCUCCUCCAGGACCCAUCAUUUGUAAGGAAACAUCUAUUUUUAUCCUUAUCUGAUGCAAUAAGGCAGUUGUUCUGUUAUUUUUUUCCCAUCUUGCUAUUGUCUAUAAGUUUCUGCCAAAGCUCUGGGCCAAAGUAGUAAUACAUUGUACUGUAAUGUAUUCACAUGCAUGAUUUAUGAUCUAAAGAGACAUGAUGGACUUCACCCUGGCUUGAAGACAACUGAUUAUUUCAGAAUAACUUUGUUCAUUACUCUAAUGGCUGCAUUUAGUGGAUGGUAGUUAUGUAUUACUUAAGUAUUGUUGAACAAAAAUAGCUUGAGGCUCCUACUCAUGAUGAAUGGAGCAGCUCAAAAUACCCUGCCCAGGAUACACUGCAGAGGGUAUGAUUCAUUGUUGCUCUGACAAAUAAAUCCAGUUUUACCAAGUCAGUUCAAUUCUGUCUGGAAGGGAGUUGAUGUUAAUUCUUUCUUAGAUUGUAAGGAACUGACAGGAAAUCUUUUAUUGCUGAUGCAUGACGAUGAAUUAUGUGAGAGAGACAACUGCUUGCUUGCUUGCUUGCUUCUCUUCUUAUUCAAAGGUGGCGUAGACUCUUUGUUCUCAGCUCCUGUGUGACACAUGACUUACAGCAUCUUCAUGAGAUGAUCCAAGAGAAAGAGAGGAAAGUGGAGCACCUUCAAGCUGCUCAUGAGAAAACCUUUUUCCAUGUCUUACAUUUGUUUUCCAAGUUUGAAAAUACUGCACCAGGUUUUCCUCUGAGGUGGCACUUACCUUUAGGAGGAUGAAGAAGCCAAAGGUGGUGAUUGGGGUUGUUUGAAACACAAACAUAUGAUUUAUUUGAAGAUAAUGAUGAUUAUUAUUAUUAGUUAUUUUAUAUGCAAGAGUCUCCCUUCAUGUUUUCUUUUUUGUUACGAUAAGUUCUAUUUUUAGGGUGAUAUUGUGCUUUGAAAAAUAAUGCCAUUGCCAAGCUAUGACAUUGUAGACAUGUUUGGCAUGGGGAGAGAUGACAACUGCUGUACUGUAAUGAUUAUUCCUCUUUUGGAGAUUUUCCACAUCAACACAAUAAGGUGUUCUGUGUAUUUUUUUAAACAUUCACGCUUAAGUAAAAGGGUGAAUCAAUCACGAGAAGACUCAGGCAUGCUUCAUGUGCAGCCAUAGCCUAUCUGUGCUAGUCUACACUUGUGUGAGUGUCUCGGUGCUACCU